AUACGGAGGGUCCGAGCGUUAAUCGGAAUUACUGGGCGUAAAGCGCGCGUAGGUGGUUCAGUCAGUCAGAUGUGAAAGCCCCGGGCUCAACCUGGGAACUGCACCUGAUACUGCUGAGCUAGAGUACGGUAGAGGGCAGUGGAAUUUCCGGUGUAGCGGUGAACUGCGUAGAGAUCGGAAGGAACACCAGUGGCGAAGGCGACUGCCUGGACUGAUACUGACACUGAGGUGCGAAAGCGUGGGUAGCAAACAGGAUUAGAUCCCCUGGUAGUCCACGCCGUAAACGAUGUCAACUAGCCGUUGGGGGACUUGAUCCUUUAGUGGCGAAGCUAACGCGAUAAGUUGACCGCCUGGGGAGUACGGCCGCAAGGUUAAAACUCAAAUGAAUUGACGGGG
rnacentral:rRNA from 1 species